rnacentral:sRNA from 1 species
AGAAGACGGCGCCCUCCGACGAUGUCUGGGGCUGCUUGGCGUGGGACUCCUCUGGCGCUGGUGCGGUCGUCGCGCAUGCGCGGGGGUGGGCAAGGCAGUGGUCAGCGACCCGCAGUCCAUCUGACUCCUGCUUCCCGGGUGUUGCUCGUGACAAGGAAGAUGGGGAGCCAAAGACCAAGCAUCUCAGAGAAGAGGAGGAAGAAGGCGAGAAGCACAGGGAACUUAGGCUGCGGAACUAUGUCCCGGAGGAUGAGGACCUGAAGAAGAGGAGGGUGCCCCAGGCCAAACCGGUUGCAGUGGAGGAGAAGGUGAAGGAGCAGCUGGAGGCCGCCAAGCCCGAGCCCGUCAUCGAGGAGGUGGACCUGGCCAACCUUGCUCCUCGGAAGCCUGACUGGGACCUCA